AGAGUUUGAUCAUGGCUCAGAAUCAACGCUGGCGGCGUGCCUAACACAUGCAAGUCGAACGAGAAAGUGGAGCAAUCCAUGAGUAAAGUGGCGACCGGGUGAGUAACACGUGACUAACCUACCUCCGAGUGGGGAAUAACUCCGGGAAACCGGGGCUAAUACCGCAUAACAUCGCAAGAUCAAAGCAGCAAUGCGCUUGGAGAGGGGGUCGCGGCUGAUUAGCUAGUUGGCGGGGUAAUGGCCCACCAAGGCGAAGAUCGGUAUCCGGCCUGAGAGGGCGCACGGACACACUGGAACUGAAACACGGUCCAGACUCCUACGGGAGGCAGCAGUGGGGAAUUUUGCGCAAUGGGGGAAACCCUGACGCAGCAACGCCGCGUGGAGGAUGAAGCCCCUUGGGGCGUAAACUCCUUUCGACCAAGACGAUAAUGACGGUACUGGUGGAAGAAGCACCGGCUAACUCUGUGCCAGCAGCCGCGGUAAUACAGAGGGUGCGAGCGUUGUUCGGAAUUAUUGGGCGUAAAGGGCGCGUAGGCGGUGCCACAAGUCACUUGUGAAAUCCCCGGGCUUAACUCGGGGCCUGCAGGCGAAACUGUGGUACUGGAGUAUGGGAGAGGUGCGUGGAAUUCCCGGUGUAGCGGUGAAAUGCGUAGAUAUCGGGAGGAACACCUGUGGCGAAAGCGGCGCACUGGACCAUAACUGACGCUGAGGCGCGAAAGCUAGGGGAGCAAACAGGAUUAGAUACCCUGGUAGUCCUAGCCCUAAACGAUGAUUGCUUGGUGUAGCAGGUACCCAAUCCUGCUGUGCCGCAGCUAACGCGAUAAGCAAUCCGCCUGGGGAGUACGGUCGCAAGGCUGAAACUCAAGGAAUUGACGGGGCCCGCACAAGCGUGGAGCAUGUGGUUCAAUUCGACGCAACGCGAAGAACCUUACCUGGGCUCGAAGCGCAGUGGACCGGGGUAGAAAAUCUC
rnacentral:rRNA from 1 species